rnacentral:lncRNA from 1 species
GAAAUCUCCUCAGCCCUCCAAAGCAAACAGAGCUCUGAGUUUUCCUCUAAAGACUCCAAACUACAGGCAUGUAUAUCUGUGCGCCAUGUGCCUUCUACCUGAAGAGACAAGGAUAGGAUGCUGGAUCCCCUGGAACUGGGAGUUACAGACAGGACUUGAACCUGGGUCUUCUCGGAGAGCAACCAGUGUUCUUUUAACUGCUGAGCCAGCUCUCAGCCCCAGUGGCCUGUCCACUCAGUACCAAGCUUCAUAUAGGACCAAGCAUCCUUUGUAGACGACCGCCGGAUCUUCAGCAGAUCACUGCUAACCACCGACCACAACACACAGCAUCUGACAGCACGACAGAGGCUCCUCCGCUCUACUGUGACCUGUCUAAUUAAUGUCCCUACCAAUAUAUUUGUUUAUGUACUGACUUACGACUUUGUACUCUGUGACUAAGUUCAUGGCCCCUCUUCCACCCCAGAAGCCGUUCGGAACAAUCUGACUGUGUUUCUAGGCCACAAUAUUUGCAGUUGAUUCAGAAUAAAGCAUUCUUUUUUUUCCUUUC